rnacentral:rRNA from 1 species
GACAGAGGCCUCGAGCGUUAGGCGGAAUCACUGGGCUUAAAGCGUGUGUAGGCGGACCCCUAAGUACCUUGUGAAAUCCCACGGCUCACCCGUGGAACCGCUGGGUAUACUGGGGGUCUUGGGCCACUCAGGGGCGACUGGAACAAGCGGUGGAGCGGUGAAAUGCGUAGAUAUCGCUUGGAACGCCGACGGUGAAAACAGGUCGCUGGGAGUGCGCCGACGCUGAGACACGAAAGCCAGGGGAGCAAACGGG